AGGGUUUGAUCCUGGCUCAGAAUCAACGCUGGCGGCGUGCCUAACACAUGCAAGUCGAACGCGGUUAGUAGCAAUACUAACUGAGUGGCGAACGGGUGAGUAACACGUGGGUGACCUACCUUCGAGUGGGGGAUAACGUCCCGAAAGGGACGCUAAUACCGCAUGACAUCCUCUUUUUGAACAGAGAGAGGUCAAAGCCGGGGAUCGCAAGACCCGGCGCUUGAUGAGGGGCUCGCGUCUGAUUAGCUAGUUGGUGGGGUAAUGGCUCACCAAGGCGACGAUCAGUAUCCGGCCUGAGAGGGCGGACGGACACACUGGGACUGAGACACGGCCCAGACUCCUACGGGAGGCAGCAGUGGGGAAUUGUUCACAAUGGGCGCAAGCCUGAUGACGCAACGCCGCGUGGAGGAUGAAGGUCUUCGGAUUGUAAACUCCUGUUGCUCGGGAAGAAUGGCUCCGACCUAAUACGUCGGAGUGUGACGGUACCGGGUGAGGAAGCCCCGGCUAACUCUGUGCCAGCAGCCGCGGUAAUACAGAGGGGGCAAGCGUUGUUCGGAAUUACUGGGCGUAAAGGGCGCGUAGGCGGCCUGUUAAGUCGAACGUGAAAUCCCCGGGCUCAACCCGGGAACUGCGUCCGAUACUGGCAGGCUUGAAUCCGGGAGAGGGAUGUGGAAUUCCAGGUGUAGCGGUGAAAUGCGUAGAUAUCUGGAGGAACACCGGUGGCGAAGGCGGCACCCUGGACCGGUAUUGACGCUGAGGCGCGAAAGCCAGGGGAGCAAACGGGAUUAGAUACCCCGGUAGUCCUGGCCCUAAAC
rnacentral:rRNA from 1 species